GACGAACGCUGGCGGCGUGGAUUAGGCAUGCAAGUCGAACGGUAUCAUCCUUUCGGGGGUGAGAGAGUGGCGAACUGGUGAGUAACACGUAGGUUAUCUACCCUCAAGACGGGGACAACCCAGGGAAACUUGGGCUAAUACCGGAUGUGAGCAACUUUUAGUUGUUUGAAAGGUGGCGUAAGCUGUCGCUUGGGGAUGAGCCUGCGUCCUAUUAGUUAGUUGGUGAGGUAACGGCUCACCUAGGCAAUGAUAGGUAGGCGGCCUUAACGGGUGGUCGCCCACACCUGGGAUUGAGAUACGGCCCAGACUCCUACGGGAGGCAGCAGUCGAGAAUAGUCUACAAUGGUCGGAAGACUGAUAGUGCGACGCCGCGUGAACGAUGAAUCCCUUCGGGGUGUAAAGUUCUUUUAUAUGUGAGCAGUGCUUCUUAUAUUAACAGUAUGGGGAGAGAGAUAUUAGCAUAUGAAUAAGCAACGGCUAACUCCGUGCCAGCAGCCGCGGUAAACUCG
rnacentral:rRNA from 1 species